GGAUUGAACGCUGGCGGCAUGCUUUACACAUGCAAGUCGAGCGGCAGCGCGGGGGCAACCCUGGCGGCGAGCGGCGAACGGGUGAGGAAUACAUCGGAACGUACCCCGGAGUGGGGGAUAACGCCGCGAAAGCGGCGCUAAUACCGCAUAUGCUCUGAGGAGGAAAGUGGGGGACUCCCGAAGGGCCUCACGCUCUGGGAGCGGCCGAUGUCCGGAUUAGCUAGUUGGUGAGGUAAUGGCUCACCAAGGCGACGAUCGGUAGCUGGUCUGGAGAGGAUGAUCAGCCACACGUGGGACUGAGACACCGGCCCAGACUCCGACGGGAGCAGCAGGUGGGUAAUUUUGGACAAGUGGGGGACCAACCGUGGACUCC
rnacentral:rRNA from 1 species